GACAAGAACGCAAAGAUAGGAAAAGAUGUGGUUAUUCUGAACAAGCAAGGUGUUGAAGAAGCUGAUAGGUCAGCAGAAGGAUUUUACAUUAGGUCCGGGAUUACCGUCAUAAUGAAGAAUGCAACCAUUAAAGAUGGGACAGUCAUAUGAAAUCUUGCUAAGUGUUCUUGCUAGUUGGGAAAUAAAGUAGGCUGGUAUGGUCUAGUGAUAUGAAAACUAGUGAUAUGAUGAAUGUGCUACUAGGGCUUUUCUGACAUUGUUUACUUUCUACCUAUGACAUAUUCACUUUCUUGGACUUGAUGAAACACAUUUCCAAGUGAACCUCAGUCCUCCAUCUUUUAAGUGUUCAGCUGCCAGCAGCUUAGUGAGUGUCUUUGCCGCCUCGCUUCAGUUUCCACCAUUUACAUAGGGGGUUUGACAUGGGGUUUGCUGGAAAAUUAUAUUGUAUAUAUAGGUUAGAUAUUACUUUUUGUACUUGGUAUGUUAAUUAUUGGUAUCGAGAUUAAUAAUGCAUUGACUAAUAAUGUCGGG
rnacentral:misc_RNA from 1 species